UACAUGGGGUGCAAACGUUGCUCGGAAUCAUUGGGCGUAAAGCGCGCGUAGGCGGUUACACAAGUUGGAUGUGAAAGCCCUCGGCUUAACUGAGGAAGUGCAUCCAAAACUGUGCAGCUAGAGUACUAAAGAGGGUCGCGGAAUUCCCGGUGUAGAGGUGAAAUUCGUAGAUAUCGGGAGGAACACCGGUGGCGAAGGCGGCGAUCUGGGUCGAUACUGACGCUGAGGUGCGAAAGCGUGGGGAGCAAACAGG
rnacentral:rRNA from 1 species